ACCCUGUGCUUUCUUUACUGCAACAUUUACUUCCCUGUUGAUGAGAAGAGGCUGCUGAGACCUUGCAUGCCUCCUGAGAAAUGCUAUUGCCCCUGUGACAAAGAAGCAUCUGAAAAGGAAGUCCUCUUGCUAGAGGAAAAGAGACAAAUUGGAGCCAAGGUAAAGGAAUUGAUGCGGUAGUGAGACAUAACCAGGUAACAUACCCCAGCAGAAAGUGUGAUACCAUGGGAGACAUCAGUGCUCUGUGCUCUAAGCUACGCUGCAG